UAAUUGAUUCUUAUGCUAGGCUAUGAGGUUAUUCCCUUUAAUACAACCACUCAUCUGAUAUUGGCUUUACCAUUGUGUGAUUAGUAGCACAAAUAAGAACAUGAUUUGGAAAAUGGAAAGGAGUGAUGAUUUAUUACUUUACUCAAAUUGUGCUUUCAUUGCAGAUAUAUAUUCACUGAUUGUGAGGCUCACAAGGUGGUUCCUUUUUUCCUCCCUUUGAUCAAAGGCUACUGGCGGAGGAGGAGAAAAAUUCUAAAGAGCAAGAAAACCCCAGCCCCGAUGAAAAGAAAAAAGAGGUUCCUACUGUACCUUUUUUUACAUAGUUUAGUGAGUCAAAGGGUGCAUUUUCUCAAGACUUAAGGUAUGUCCUCUUUUCUAAUGUAUGAUAUUUCAUAUUUGAUUUUGUGAUCUGGGACAUUCUAUGUUUAAGUGAUUUAGCAAAAAUGAAAUCAUUUCACAUGUCCCUUUUCUGACCUCCUUCUCUGUCUUCAGUGGUUUCAUUUAUUGACUCCCCAAAUUCAUAUUAACCUUUCAUGCAGGAAUAUAGUUGUCUAUGCCACUAACCUCACUUCCUAAUCAUCUCCACUAUUAUGCUUUCUGUGGAAGGCUUCAAGAGAUAGUUUUCUAAUUACAGAACUUAUUUUAAUUUGAUCAUGUAGAAAACUAAGAGAAGGACUGCAGAACUUUUCUGCAAACUAUAAUUACAGAACUUAUUAUAAUAUCUUUUCUUCUUUUGUGGGUUCAACUUUGUGCAAACUAUUAUUGCAUCUCCUUGAUUUGUUGCAUGUGAAUAUCUGCAAGAAGGAGGAGGAGAUGAAUUCUUCCGCUAUAUGUAUUUAUACAUUUAUUUCACUGCUUUAUGUGGUUGUGAUUUAUCAUGUUUUCCUUCCUUCUACAUGUUUCAUUUUUCUCUUAUGCUUGCUUCUCUAUCCUGAUUUAAUCUAUGGGUGCCUAUAUAGGUUGCGUUAGAAAAGAGAAUUUUCUCUUUUAUCAUUGAUCUUCAAGUGAGUUCUUAAUAUGACUAUAUUAUAAUUCUAAUUUUAAGUUUUUAACUACCGUGAUUGUAAGUUUUAUAGUGUGGAGGACCCUAAACUCAUCCCAUUCCAAAAAUCCAUUUUUCUGCAUUCUUAUUCUCAUUAUCUUAUUGAAUUUCUUCAUACUGGGAUCUGUUUUAACUCUUGAAUGACAUUUGAAAGCUUCCCAAAUGCAUGUAUUUUCUCAUGGAAAUUCCAACAGAGUUGAGAAUUUUUUUUUCUAUAAAUUCUCUGUAAUAUAGCAAGUGGAUUAAUUGAGUGAAUUUUUUUUUCUUCACCUGAAUUCACUCUUGGAACUCGAGAGAGGAGCAACUUAGUGUAUCUUUUUUAUUUAUUCUCUUAAACUUUUCCUCUUUCUCUUCAAUCCUUUUCUUUUCUUGGCAUUUUGGUAAAUAGAUGGUGAGCCAAUUUAGUCAAAGUUUGCAAAGAUUAAUGAAUAGGUUUCAAUUCUAAUGAGAUGCAUUGCAGUCACUUUCUCCAACAACUUGAAAGCGUGUUACAUUUAGUUUAUGAAAACGUUUGUCACCGUAAGUGUACUGAUUGUAGUCAAUUAAAUGACAGAACUAUUUUUUAUUUGAUCAUCUGAUCUGAUAUUGCUCUAUUUGUUUUAUUGCAGAAGAAUCUGUAUUACAUUUAAUUUAUCAUAUAUUGAAAUUCGAUUACAUCAGCUGUUUUCAGAAUGAGUCAUGGUUAGACAACGGUUUUAGCAUUUUGGGUGCUGCUAGAUGAUUUUUUGGCGUUGCAAUAGGGAAAUGGUUUGUAAAGUCAUCCAAUGCUACAAGGAAACAGAUACUGGACUGGAGGUUUAUUUUCAGAAUUUUAGUUCAGAAUUGUCUGGACACAGAAAUACUGAAAUAUGUUGAGGAAGCUUUAUCCAAAAGGUGUCUACGCAGUCUACUGUGGAAAUUGGAUAGAUGUUGAAGGUCAGGUUCUGAUUUUGAACUUGCUGUGGGGAUCUCUGCUACUAGGCAUAACCUACAAAAUUUUUGGGACAAUGUUAGAUAAUCAAGAUUCCAGGCAGGGCAACGUCGGGGAAGAGGCAGAGCAUGGAUAGAGCUAUUAACGUAAUAUACACAACAAUUUAUGAUGCAACUUGGCUGGAAACAUUUGUAGCAACUUGGCUGGAAAAUAUUUUGAAUCUGGCUGCAGAUCAAAAGAUUUGUGUAAACUGAUUCUAUGCUUUGUUAUUAUGCAAGGUGUCACUGUUAGCAUGAGAACAACAUGCUUUUAAUUCUCUUUGACUAUCUAUUUAUCCACCAGAAAAAAGAACAAUUUCAUGCUAAAA